ensembl:lncRNA CCDC26 CCDC26 long non-coding RNA
ACCCGCAGUCCUGGGCUUAGGUCUUACAACACAGGGAAAGCUGAUGGGAGUUCCUCCCGAGCUUAGUAGCGAGGCUAGAGAGAGACAGAAUGACAGAGAGAGAAAAUGAUUCUCUGCUGCCUGCAGAGCUGACAGCUGCUGCCUGAAUCUACUCAUCUGUGAGCCACAAAGGGGCAAAGUUUAAAGGAACAGCACUUCUUAGCUGUUCACAGUUCUACGAGGGCAGGGCAGAACAGGACCAGCUGGUGCCUACAGUCCAGUUACUUCUUUGCUCUGUCCCUGGGGUCGGAUCUCACCUGUUUUUGAUCUUUGGCACAUUUUCCUGCAAUGAUGAACGAGUGAGGCGGGCUGGGAGUGAAUAAGGAGACUUUUAGGUGUUGCCUCAGCUUCUCAAAGUUUCUGGUGUUUAUGAAGAUCCAUAACAGCUGGCUGCAAACCCAACUCCUGAGAAUCAUUUCUGGGAGAAUGCCGAAGACUGCAUUUCAACUUCAAGAAUGGCCUUUUACCGUUUAUCCGUUUGGAGCUUCCCCCAAGCACCCAACCCACUGCUGGCUAUAAAGAUUUGGAGACCUGGGCUUGAGUUCCAGCUGAGCUGCCUUCUGGCUAUUCCCUGGGGAAGCCACCUCACCUCCCUAGAGCCUCUGCUUCCUCAUCCAAGACUGGGGGUAUAGCUGUGCUCACCC